ensembl:lncRNA
CAUUGAGUCCAUGAUGCUAUCUUACCAUCUCAUCCUCUGCCGCCCUCUUCUCCUUUAGCCUUCAAUCUUUCCCAGAAUCAACAUCUUCUUCCGUUCACUCUCUUGUGGAGAUUUUCCUGGAAUCAUGCCAGAUGCAGUCCUCAGCUCGCAAAGUGUGGAUCACAGUCCCAGCCCUGAAGCCCCGUUGGCCUCAGCAUUUCUGUGUCCACCUGUACACAACCUCGCAUCGUGCUUCUUCUGCCCGGAUCAUCAUGAUGCUUUGAACAUGUAGCACCGGGAGUGCUGACUCAGCAGUAAAGAAUCAGCCUGCCAGUGCCGGAGAUGCAGGAGACACGGCUUCGAUCCCUGGGUUGGGGAGAUCCCCUGGAGGACGACAUGGCAACCCACUCGAGUAUUCUUGCUUGGAAAAUUCCAC